rnacentral:misc_RNA from 1 species
AACCAUUCUCACCUGCGGCUAGACCUGCGGAGGGAUCAUUACCUAGAGUUGUAGGCUUUGCCUGCUAUCUCUUACCCAUGUCUUUUGAGUACCUUACGUUUCCUCGGCGGGUUCGCCCGCCGGUUGGACAAAACUUAAACCCUUUGUAGUUGCAAUCAGCGUCUGAAAAAACUUAAUAGUUACAACUUUCAGCAAUGGAUCU